rnacentral:rRNA from 1 species
UACGUAGGGUGCAAGCGUUAAUCGGAAUUACUGGGCGUAAAGCGUGCGCAGGCGGCUUUGCAAGACAGAUGUGAAAUCCCCGGGCUCAACCUGGGAACUGCAUUUGUGACUGCAAGGCUGGUGUACGGCAGAGGGGGAUGGAAUUCCGCGUGUAGCAGUGAAAUGCGUAGAUAUGCGGAGGAACACCGAUGGCGAAGGCAAUCCCCUGGGCCUGUACUGACGCUCAUGCACGAAAGCGUGGGGAGCAAACAGG